rnacentral:rRNA from 1 species
UACGGAGGGUGCAAGCGUUAUCCGGAUUCACUGGGUUUAAAGGGUGCGCAGGUGGGUUGGUAAGUCAGUGGUGAAAUCUCCGUGCUUAACAUGGAAACUGCCAUUGAUACUACUGGUCUUGAAUUAUCUGGAGGUCAGCGGGAUAUGUCAUGUAGCGGUGAAAUGCUUAGAUAUGACAUAGAACACCAAUUGCGAAGGCAGCUUACUACACAAAUAUUGACGCUGAGGCACGAAAGCGUGGGGAUCAAACAGG